ACGGCGGCGGCCAUGGCGGCGACUGCAGGCGGACUCCGGAGGGCGACUUGGCGGCCCCGCUCUUCGUGCUGCUGGCGCUUGUGCUGCCCGGCGUCUGCGGAGACUCCUCGACCGACGGUGGAGGACUAAUGUCAUGCACACGCCGUCGUUCCUGUCGUGGUUGGCGUCGCUGGUCUGCUGUUUCAUUCUGGUCAUCGCCUGUCAGCCUGAAGAGCGUUCUGCAGUGUCCUCGCGAGUUUGGACAAUUUCUGCAGAUUGGCUUCAAGUUCCCUGGCCUCUUAUCUGCUGUCUCCAGCUGCUGUUAAAAGCAUCUAGUGAAUUGUUUAAUUCAAAUAUUGUACUUUUAAAUUCCAGAA